rnacentral:rRNA from 1 species
CUACGGGUUGCAGCAGUGAGGAAUAUUGCACAAUGGGGGGAACCCUGAUGCAGCAACGCCGCGUGGAGGAUGACGCAUUUCGGUGUGUAAACUCCUUUUAUAUGUCAAGAAAAUGACGGUAGCAUAUGAAUAAGCACCGGCUAACUCCGUGCCAGCAGCCGCGGUAAUACGGAGGGUGCAAGCGUUACUCGGAAUCACUGGGCGUAAAGGACGCGUAGGCGGGUUGGAAAGUCAGGUGUGAAAUCCUAAAGCUUAACUGUAGAACUGCACUUGAAACUUCUAAUCUAGAGUAUGGGAGGGGGAGAUGGAAUUAGUGGUGUAGGGGUAAAAUCCGUAGAUAUCACUAGGAAUACCUAAAGCGAAGGCGAUCUCCUGGAGCAUUACUGACGCUAAGGCGUGAAAGCGUGGGGAGCAAACAGGAUUAGAUACCCCGGUAGUC